rnacentral:rRNA from 1 species
AGUGAACGCUGGCGGUAGGCCUAACACAUGCAAGUCGAACGGCGGCACAGUAAGAGCUUGCUCUUACGGGUGGCGAGUGGCGGACGGGUGAGGAAUACAUCGGAAUCUACUUUUUCGUGGGGGAUAACGUAGGGAAACUUACGCUAAUACCGCAUACGACCUACGGGUGAAAGCAGGGGAUCUUCGGACCUUGCGCGAUUGAAUGAGCCGAUGUCGGAUUAGCUAGUUGGCGGGGUAAAGGCCCACCAAGGCGACGAUCCGUAGCUGGUCUGAGAGGAUGAUCAGCCACACUGGAACUGAGACACGGUCCAGACUCCUACGGGAGGCAGCAGUAGGGAAUAUUGGACAAUGGGCGCAAGCCUGAUCCAGCCAUACCGCGUGGGUGAAGAAGGCCUUCGGGUUGUAAAGCCCUUUUGUUGGGAAAGAAAAGAAGCAGGUUAAUCCCCCGCUGUUCUGACGGUACCCAAAGAAUAAGCACCGGCUAACUUCGUG